AGUAACACGUGGGUAACCUGCCUCAUAGAGGGGAAGUAGCCUUUCGAAAGGAAGAUUAAUACCGCAUAAGAUUGUAGUACCGCAUGGUACAGCAAUUAAAGGAGUAAUCCGCUAUGAGAUGGACCCGCGUCGCAUUAGCUAGUUGGUGAGGUAACGGCUCACCAAGGCGACGAUGCGUAGCCGACCUGAGAGGGUGAUCGGCCACAUUGGGACUGAGACACGGCCCAGACUCCUACGGGAGGCAGCAUG
rnacentral:rRNA from 1 species